CAAUACACAGCCUUGAUGUACUCCUUUCCUGAUUUGGAACCAGUCCAUUGUUCCUCGUCUGGUUCUAACUGCUGCUUCUUGACCUGCAUACAGGUUUCUCAGGAGGGAGGUAAGGUGGUCUGCUUUUCCCAUCUCUGAGACUUUUCCACAAUUAGUUGUGAUCCACAGUCAAAGGCUUUAGCGUAGUCAGUGAAGCAGAAGUAGAUGUUUUUCUGGAAUCCUCUUGCUUUUUCUGUAGCUGAAGCCAAUAGAACCAGGAGGGUGAGGAGGAAGCUGCCAGAGGAAGAUGUUCCUCUGAAUGGUUCCAGCGUCCAUCAGGCAGUUUCCAGGAAGAUGAAAGAAGCCCCCAAAUGUCAGUCUUCAUGUCUUUGACCAUAACUGGGUGUCAGCAUCUGACAGGCUGAUGCUGUCCCUGAAUCCUGCGGGAGCAAGGUUGCUGAGUGUGGCUGCACAUGUGCCCAGGACCAAGGCUCCUCCCCAGGAAAGUCCCUGGUCCAGCCCUCAGUCAGCAGAGGACAUAGGAUGGCAGCGGGAGAGGACCUACAGAAGCUGCCAGAACUGGGUCACUGGGACUUUGGUGACUGGUCAUGGCUGAGCAGGAGCGGAGGGUCAGAUGGGAUCAGGACAAGGGAGGCUGGAGGGGAGGCCAGGCUCUCAGUCGUGUCUGACUCUUUGUGACCCCCCAUGGACUGUGGCCCACCAAGCUCCUCUGUCCAUGGGAUUUCCCAGGCAAGAAUACUGGAGUGGGUUGCCAUUUCUUCCUCCAGGAGAUCUUCCUAACCCGGUGUGGAGGACUCCAAUUCCGCAAUGAUUAGGCCACUUGAAGUUGUUCUCCAGAUCAAUGAUGUUUGUUUUUUCUUUAAAAAAGUUAAUUAAUUAAUAAAUCUGGCUGUGCUGGGUCUUUGUUGCUGAGGGGCCUUUUCUGUAGUUGCAGGGAGCAGGGGCUACUCUCCAGCUGCAGUGCGUGGGCUUCUCCUCGCAGUGGCUUCUCUUGUGGAACACAGGCUCUAGAGCAUUUGGGCUUCAGUAGUUGCAGCACACACGCUCAGUAGAUGACUUUUACACAUAUGAAAAGAUAUUCAACCUCACCAUAAUAAGAAAUACACAAUUUAAAAUAUAUGAUGAUAUCAUCAUUCUUCACUGAUAAGACUGGCAAAAAUCUAAAAUUGCUAAUACACUGGGUGUGGGAGGAUUGGAGGAAACAGUUCUCUCCUAUGUUGUUGGUGGGGAUGUAGAUUGGUAUAGUCAUUGUAGAGGGCACUUCAGCCAUAUCUGUCAACCAGAACUAGAAAUGCAUAUACUUUUGGUCCACAGUUUCACCUCAACAAAUUCAUCUUCCUGACAUACUUACAUGUAUAUGUAUGUGCAUAUGUGUAUGCAUACACAUUCACUACAUUCACUAGAGCAGAAGUUUGGGAGCAACUUGAAUGUUCAGGAGCAGAACACUAGUUAAUUGCAAGGUGGUACAUUUGAUGUGUAUGGAGCUUCGUGUGAGUUUCAUGAUGUGUUGUCAACUUCAGGGCAUUAUGCAUUUCACGGCUCCUAGUGGACCCAGUCCAGGGAUGGACAUGAGAAGGAGAGACUGACUUUCCAUUUUAUACUUUUUUGGUCAUCUUUAAAUAUUGAACAUGUGCAUGUAUUAUCAAUGAUAAAAAUAAUAUUUAAAAUGUG